CAUUAUACUCCGCCUGCACAAUACAAAUAUAAUUAACUGUGAAUCAACAAGUGCCCAAUGGGUGUACGGGCCUUUUGUCCGACGACGACGACGACGCGCACACCAGCCAUCGUAUACCGCAGCUACGGAUAUUGUAUAAGCAAACAUUAUUAUUAUUAAAACGACCGACUGCUGUUUUACGGCUACCUACAGUUCCUCCCGUCGCCUAUACAGCCCAGUGUAUUUUAUUAAAAUAUUAAUGGAAAAAAAAAAAAAAAAAAAUUUGAAACAAAAAUUAAUAUGGGUAUAGACGGGAUAUAUUUUGCUUUACCGUCAAUUAAACCGUGAAGAGGUUCGACUGCCUGUCGAUAAUUUUCCAUUUGUUUUUUCGGGUUCGAACACCCGAUAAUAGGCACACUAAAAAAUAAUAGGAAAUACCUAUACCGAUUUCGGAUUGACGCGUUCAACAAGACGUAUAUUGUUAAAACGAUAGAAACAAUGUGUAGGUACGACGGAGUUUUUUAAAUUAUAAAAAAAAUAAAAUGUAUAGUAUAUUAUUAUUACGGC